rnacentral:lncRNA from 1 species
AAAUAUAUUUAAUUUCCAUAUUCAACAGAUUCAUAAUGAUUAAUUAAUUUAAUUCCAUUUUCAAACUUCACCUAUUUAAUUAAAUAAAUAAUAAUUUGAAAACCUUAAAUUAAUUCUUAAGUAAUUUCUAUACUCAGUGAAAAAAAAAACACAUCCAUUAUGAAUGUGACUUAUUUCUCUGACUUCAUCAUUUCCAUCCAUUUUUGUUCAUUUGGUUUUACAUACAAUUUGUAAUAGGCCCAUUUUGCCUGGGCCCAUAAAAAACAAAAAAAACCAAAAAAAUAAAAUAUAUUUAUAAGACCAAACAAUGAAAGACCAAAUUGUUUAUAGGGCCAAAGUCCAUUUACAAAACCCAAAACUAAAAUGAAAAAAUAAAAAACAAUACAAUAAAAGUUCAAUAACUCAUGACCCAAUUGAAUAAAUCCUCAAACCCAACAGCCCAAACCCGAGGCCCAAUACACCCAAAAAUAAUUUUAGUAGCCUAAGAAUGCCAGAAUCUUCUGGAAUAAACUAGAGGGUUGGCUUCCCACGAGGGUUUCUCACGCACGUCUGCUUCCGUACAUCCCGGCGCGCCUCCGUACAUCCACGUCAACGGAGCCUACAAGAAAGAAAAACAAACAGCAAAGGAAGGCACGAGAAAGAGGCUAACAGAAUUUACAGCGAUUGACAGCAAGAAAAUGUAAUUUUAUUUUGAUUUUACUCUAUAAAUCCGACUAUAAAAGCCGACGAAUGUACCUACAAAAAACUUACGUACACUGUACACAUACUAUAGACACAAAAUAGAAAAGAAGAAAUCAAAAAUAUAGAAGGUGAUCUCGAUUUUUUUUUCUUCUUUUUUUUUGAUCUAUUUUAUUGGUGGGGUGAGAUUUUUUUAGUAUAUGAAUUGACACCGAUGAAAACCCAAAUGUCUCUAAAAUGAAAAGACUCGGGUGAGGGCCGAAUGUAUUCUUCAAUUUUUAUUUUUUUCUUUGUUUUUGUUUGAUUUUUCGAAGAAACAAAGUACGAUUUGAAGUUUUUUUUUUAAAAAAAAGGGAAAUGAAAAGGAUUGGUUUACCAGAUCUCCAUGGUUGCGACUUUCACGGGCAAAGAUAGGGUUGUUAAUUGCACGUCGUCGGCCACUAAUCAAAUAUUGGCUCGUCGUCUGUUAGCCAAGUGAAACCCUAGCAAUUGGGGGUUAAUGGCUGCUGCUGUUUCUAAAAAAAAAUGAUUAAAAUUAGGUCAUGUUUGAAGAAAAAAGGGCUUAAAAUCAUCCAUAAAGAAAAACGGCGCCGUUUAUACCCAGGAAGGUUCGAACAUUGGCCCGAUAAACAAGUCGGAUCUGCGCCCUUUUAUUUGAAUGGGUAAAUUGCGCGCUGGAUCCUUCUUCCGCGCGAAGCCUCCAAUUGCGCCCUAUUUGGCUACUUUGUUUUUUAAUUUGGCUCUAUGAUUUCUGUGCCUUUUUAUUUUGGUCUGCGAUUCAGUGUAGCGAUUUGAGCUCGGGAUAUUUCCAAUUCUAGUCCUCGCACAUUUGUGUGCAUGGCACAUUGAUCCUAUUUUUCAAUUAUUUUAUUUGUAAAUUAUUCUUCUUGUUUCAAGUUUGUUGUAAUUAAGUUUUUAUUACUGCAUAUACAUUUUCUUUUACAUGUUUGAUUAUUGGUUGC